UGAUAUAUGACCAGGAUAGUACCCUCC
rnacentral:piRNA from 1 species